rnacentral:rRNA from 2 species
UAUACAUGCAGUCGAGCGGACAGAUGGGAGCUUGCUCCCUGAUGUUAGCGGCGGACGGGUGAGUAACACGUGGGUAACCUGCCUGUAAGACUGGGAUAACUCCGGGAAACCGGGGCUAAUACCGGAUGGUUGUUUGAACCGCAUGGUUCAAACAUAAAAGGUGGCUUCGGCUACCACUUACAGAUGGACCCGCGGCGCAUUAGCUAGUUGGUGAGGUAACGGCUCACCAAGGCAACGAUGCGUAGCCGACCUGAGAGGGUGAUCGGCCACACUGGGACUGAGACACGGCCCAGACUCCUACGGGAGGCAGCAGUAGGGAAUCUUCCGCAAUGGACGAAAGUCUGACGGAGCAACGCCGCGUGAGUGAUGAAGGUUUUCGGAUCGUAAAGCUCUGUUGUUAGGGAAGAACAAGUACCGUUCGAAUAGGGCGGUACCUUGACGGUACCUAACCAGAAAGCCACGGCUAACUACGUGCCAGCAGCCGCGGUAAUACGUAGGUGGCAAGCGUUGUCCGGAAUUAUUGGGCGUAAAGGGCUCGCAGGCGGUUUCUUAAGUCUGAUGUGAAAGCCCCCGGCUCAACCGGGGAGGGUCAUUGGAAACUGGGGAACUUGAGUGCAGAAGAGGAGAGUGGAAUUCCACGUGUAGCGGUGAAAUGCGUAGAGAUGUGGAGGAACACCAGUGGCGAAGGCGACUCUCUGGUCUGUAACUGACGCUGAGGAGCGAAAGCGUGGGGAGCGAACAGGAUUAGAUACCCUGGUAGUCCACGCCGUAAACGAUGAGUGCUAAGUGUUAGGGGGUUUCCGCCCCUUAGUGCUGCAGCUAACGCAUUAAGCACUCCGCCUGGGGAGUACGGUCGCAAGACUGAAACUCAAAGGAAUUGACGGGGGGCCGCACAAGCGGUGGAGCAUGUGGUUUAAUUCGAAGCAACGCGAAGAACCUUACCAGGUCUUGACAUCCUCUGACAAUCCUAGAGAUAGGACGUCUCCUUCGGGGGCAGAGUGACAGGUGGUGCAUGGUUGUCGUCAGCUCGUGUCGUGAGAUGUUGGGUUAAGUCCCGCAACGAGCGCAACCCUUGAUCUUAGUUGCCAGCAUUCAGUUGGGCACUCUAAGGUGACUGCCGGUGACAAACCGGAGGAAGGUGGGGAUGACGUCAAAUCAUCAUGCCCCUUAUGACCUGGGCUACACACGUGCUACAAUGGACAGAACAAAGGGCAGCGAAACCGCGAGGUUAAGCCAAUCCCACAAAUCUGUUCUCAGUUCGGAUCGCAGUCUGCAACUCGGCUGCGUGAAGCUGGAAUCGCUAGUAAUCGCGGAUCAUCAU